rnacentral:rRNA from 1 species
AGAACGAACGCUGGCGGCAUGCCUAACACAUGCAAGUCGAACGAAGGCUUCGGCCUUAGUGGCGCACGGGUGAGUAACGCGUGGGAAACUGCCCAUCAGUGGGGAAUAACAGCGGGAAACUGCUGCUAAUACCGCAUACGCCCUUCGGGGGAAAGAUUUAUCGCUGAUGGAUGUGCCCGCGUACGAUUAGGUAGUUGGUGGGGUAAAGGCCUACCAAGCCGACGAUCGUUAGCUGGUCUGAGAGGAUGAUCAGCCACACUGGGACUGAGACACGGCCCAGACUCCUACGGGAGGCAGCAGUGGGGAAUAUUGGACAAUGGGCGAAAGCCUGAUCCAGCAAUGCCGCGUGAAUGAUGAAGGCCUUAGGGUUGUAAAGUUCUUUCGGGUGGGACGAUGAUGACGGUACCACCAGAAGAAGCCCCGGCUAACUUCGUGCCAGCAGCCGCGGUAAUACGAAGGGGGCUAGCGUUGUUCGGAAUUACUGGGCGUAAAGCGCACGCAGGCGGCUCGUUAAAUUAGAAGUGAAAGCCCUGGGCUCAACCCGGGAAUUGCUUUCAAGACUGGCGAGCUUGAAUCCGGAAGAGGGUAGUGGAAUUCCCAGUGUAGAGGUGAAAUUCGUAGAUAUUGGGAAGAACACCAGUGGCGAAGGCGACUACCUGGUCCGGCAUUGACGCUCAUGUGCGAAAGCGUGGGGAGCAAACAGGAUUAGAUACCUGGUAGUCCACGCCGUAAACGAUGAGUGCUAGUUGUUGGGGUACAUGUACUUCAGUGACGCAGCUAACGCAUUAAGCACUCCGCCUGGGGAGUACGGCCGCAAGGUUA